UUUGAUUUUGAAUGAUUGUAAGAAGAAUGAAUUUAAUUUCAUUUUGUUUAUAAUUUACUUUUUUUUCCCCCCCUUCAUUGAUAAAUUUGGAGUAACAUGAAAAUAUUUCUUCUUUCCAUUUUGCCUGUAUAAAAUUAGGGUUUCAGACAAUGAAUUGGUUUGGAAAUUUUAGAUUCAAAAUGUUAAUGUAAUUUUUUUUUUCCCACCCCCAACAUUUAUUUCAAAUGGGGAUUCCAGCUAUUUUUUUUUAAUGCCCACAUUUACAUGUGAUAAAUUUAAUAUUAUUAUUGUUCCUUUCAUUAUUAAAACCUUAAAUGAUAAUCCCUUAAUAAAGUUCAUUGCUAUCAUCACCUUAAUAUUUUUAUGCAAAAGAAAGUUUUUGUUAAAUAUACAAUUGCCUAUGGGGUGACAUAUGUUAAGCCCAAAUGGAGAUUUUUGCUUCAAUUUUCACAGUUAAGCAAAAAAAUUCAUUUUAAAACAUGGACAGUAUAUCAUAAGAUUUUUUUUACAUCCUUCUCACUUUCCAAGAAAUUAAAUGUUUGAAUACUUUGUUUGCUGUUUUGUACAGGUCAUUGGAAAGUAGUUUUACAAUUAUGUUAACUCCUCAUUCUGUUUUUUUUUUUUUUUUGUUGUAAAUGUAUGUUAUUUGUUAGUGGCAAAAUAGAUGGGGUUUUUUUUUUCUUUUGGCAAAUUUUAGUUUAUUGGUGCUAUAGAUAAUUGUGUGACCCUUAGUAUUUCAAAUUUUAAGCUUCUGGAGAAAAUUUAUAUUGAAAAAUUGCUUUAUGAAUAAAUGGAUUAAGUUAUAAAUGCUGAUUUUAUAAAAUUCCUAUAAAUUUAAUGUCCUGUCAUACCUUAAGAUAUUUUGUGGGUCUCAACAGUUGUUUUUAGUGAAAUUUAGAAUUGGUUAUAAUUUUGUUAACUUUAACAUUUCAUUUAAUAGAGCAGCUUUAUUGGUUGGUUUAUUCAUACACUAAAUCCCAUUUGUUUUACCUUGAAAAUGCCUUAGUAUAAAAAAUAAAUGUCCAGUCUCAUUUAAUUUGAAACUAUUAUUUAAUCAUUAAUAUAAAAGGCAUAUAGUAGUUGAUUUAUUUUUAUUGUUGCAAAAGGGAAAUGGAUGUGAAAAUUUUUUUUUAAAUGUCCACAAAAAUUCUAAUCAGUGCUUUGUCUCCUCAAAGUAUUACUAUUGGUUAUGUAAUUUUAUUUCUUAGGGAAAUGCUAUUUUAAAAUUAUGUUCUGAAAUUUUUUCUUGUCACAAAAAAAAAAACUGAUUUUUAUUGUGAAAAUAUGUAAAAUCCUCAUAUUUUUAUAUUAAUUACACAAAAAGUUGUCUUUUGCUUUAUUUUUCUUCAACUUGAAUUAAAGGUAAAAAGCAAACUUAGUUGUCAUGUUUACUCAAAGCCUGUCUACUCUGUAACACACUGUUGGUUGAUUAGGAUGUGUGUGUGUUGUAUAAUUUGUGGCACAAAAUUUUAAAUAUAAUUCUGGAAAAGUUACAAUAAUUACAACUGGUAUAGUCAUAUUACAAAAGAUAGUUGGGAAUUCUUUUUAAGUGAUGUUGACUUUGGAAAACUGUUGUGGAAUCUUGCUAAAAUAAAUAUAUAUGCAUAGUUAUUCACACUUCAAAAUUAUAAGAAUAAAAGAAAUUAGCUGUGCUUGUAAAAAUCAUUAGUCUUAAACUACCAUAGUUUGGCAGGUUGAAGAACUUGUAUCAAUUCCUCAUAGAUUUUAUAAGAUACUCUUUUCUUUUUUUGCAUAUCUUCAAUGGCAGCAUAUAACAUUGACUCUAGUAUGAAUCAUCUGGAUCGUUACAUUCCUCUGAUUCUAUCCUCUGGAUCUGAAGUAGCUGGUUAGGCUGUUAUUGAAGACUGCUAUUUAUAAAUGCAUGAUCGGAUGUGGUCGUCUUGCCGGCAUGAGCCAUUAUUUCAAAUGUAAAAUUUUGAAUAAAUAAAACAAAGAAGAAAUAAUUUUAGUUAUUGUUUCUUAUUUUAUGAUUUUCAAUGGCUCUUUAACUUCUUCCAAGUAGAAGAUUACAUUCUUUUCAUGUUUGAAUUAACUAUAAAAAAAAAAAGCCUCCCACUUUGCUCUCUAUAGAAAAUAUAUAUAUAUACUGUCUAUCCAGUUUGUCCCUGCAUUAAUCGCAAUAACUAAAUUUCUAGUGCUGCUACUGGAAAUUUUAUUAUUUAUAACGUAAAUUAGUUUUCAUUUUCUCAUAGAUCUACAUAUUUGUAUUUACCCUUUUCAUGAAUCCCUCUCCUUAUUUCAUGAUUAUCUUCAUCUACAUAAUAAACCCUAUUUUGCUGUCACUUUUUAAUACUCUGUCAGUACAUUCUGUUCAUAUUUUGGACUUGGACCUUUAUAAAUUUAAAAGUUUGGCUCCAUUUAAUAGCAAGGAUUUUUGGAUCAGAAACUUUGCUGUUGAAUAUUUAGCAGAAUGCCUCAUGUCCUUCAAUGUGGUAAAUGCUAUUAGUUAGAAGAAAUGAAAUUUUGAUUUUUGUCUUUAAAUUAAAAUUCUAUAAUCAUCCUUUGCUUCAAGGAUAUACACUGCUCUAUUAACACCUUUCUUUGAAUUUUAGGAUAGAAUUUUUUGGAGUUGUUAUAUAGUUCGUUUCUAAAUAGUUCAUGCUGGAAUUGAGAUCACUAAGCAACACUUGGCAAAGAAGACUUGAUUUGACUAAGAUUUUUUUUUUUCUUCCACUUAGGUUCUAUAUUCAAUGUAUGUAAUAGUUUAUGUAUAAAACCUGUUAGAAAUAAGUGUUAUUAUUCAAUACUUGAAAGUUAGAACAAUCAUGAUUUUUAAAAAAAUAAAAUUCACUAUUACAAUCUCUAAACUAUAUCAAAUAUUAAUGCCUUAAAACUUUGAAUUCAAUAUUUCAUUGCAUAAAACUUUGAUUCAUUGAUUUCAAUGCAAUAAUAAAUUUCCACUUUCUCAGUCGCAUUUCAUAUGAUUAUCCAUUUCUCAGAAGUAUUAUACUUGUUGAUUUUCAAGCUCAGCCAUCUACCAAACCUCAUUAUCCAUUUAUGCAUGUUUUUAUUUUUGGCAACUUAACAUGAACAAUUCAAAUAAGAUCAUCGAAAUAUACAAAAUUCUUAUCUCUGGAAAAAAAAAAUAAUAAUAAUAAUAAUAAUAAUAAAUGGUAUUGAAAUCCUUUUCUAAUUCAGUAUUGUUCCUAAAAUUUUUCUUGAUUCUCUGUUAUUUUUACAUUAUGUUUCCUUCAAAUCUUUUCACAAAUAUUAAAACCAUUGUCAAUGAGUAAAUAUUCUGAAAAUAUGCUUUGCAUUAUUGAAGUUCUACCUUUCAGCAAAUGACAAGUAUUUACAGUAGAUAAUAUUAUGUGAAUUGGAGCAGAUAAAGUAAAUCUACUUCUUUCUGCAAAUACAGUUCCAUUGUAUAUUAUUUAUAUGGCCAAAACCCUGUUGAUGGUUUCUAUUUAGUCAAUGAUUUGGAUUGUAUUUUUAUAAAGUUAUUUCUUCAAGGAUUUAUUUUGGGGUUUGAGAUUACCUGGCAAAAGAAGUGCACCUUAUUUUGCUAUGUCUUCUGUGUGUGUGUGUGUAUGUAUGCAUAUGUAUAUAACUAGUUGGAGAUUUCAUUUGAAAUGGAAAGAACCACAAAGUCAGGUACUUGAUAUGUUAAUUAGAGGGUAUAUUAAUUUAGUGACUCUUACAGGACUAGUACUACAUUCUUGAUGAAUUCCCCAAAAAUGUAACAAUUUUGUAUGAGUUAUAAAAAAUAUAUACAUAUAAUAUAGGAAGGAUUUUUCCACAUUAAUAGGUGGCCAUCAAUUAUGUUUAUAUUUCAAUUCUACAAGCAACUUCAAAUUGAAAGCUAAAAGGUGGUGAGGUGAGUGGUCAGUAUUUAAUCUAGUCAACAAUUUGCUGCUGAAAUUAUAACCUGGUAUCUAAUGGUCUUUUUAAAUUGCCUAGAUUGUGUAUAUAUUGUCUUCACCCCUGGGUUUUGUUCAAGCAUCUGUCAUAUAAAGUAUUUCUUUGACUUGAUUACAAAAUUCUAAAUAUUAUUGGACCUUUACAGAGGUUUCACUUGUGAGUCUACAUAUCAAAUAUGGCUAUUGUCUAAUUUCGUACACUAUUUAUCUUCCAGAUGAACACUGAACAAGUAUGGUUUAUGUGAAAUUAAUUGUACUAUAAUAAGCAUAACACCAUAGAUGUUUGAAAGGAAUCUUUAUAUAAGACUAAAAUUAAUAUUCGGCUUACAGAAUAUUAUUGUAGAAGCUAGAUACUCUAAGUAUAUAGAUUUCCUGUGUUUAGAAGAGCAAUGAAAAAGGGUAAAUUGAUUGGAAUUGGUUUAAAAAUUCACUCCAUCAUGUCUCUCUAACUGAAACUUUAUUGCAAGUUUAUAACAAAUCCAUGUUUUAACCCUUUUUCAUGAGCUAAUUGAAACACACUGAUGGUGCUUCAUUUUGAAUAUAAUCAACAAUUGGGAGGAUUUCAGUGAAAUAAUUUUGUCAUUUUAACUUGGUGUUUCAAAAACAACAAAAGGUUCUUACAUAAAAUUAUAAUUGGAGGUUUUAAUUUAAGCAUAAAUACUUAUGGUUUGGUAUUGAGAGGAUAAAAGUUGAAUUUUUUCCCCUCCUUUGUGUAAUCCAACUUUUAUUGAUCUUGUUCUAGCAAGACAUUGUCAUGUGGUUCUAAUCUUGUCAGAUCUAGUGGUUUUUAUUGUAUUUUAGCUAAUCCAAAAGGAAGUAUUAAUGUGUAUUUUUAUUACAAAAUUAUUUUUCAUAAAAAUUUGCUUCAUAUUUUGUAAAUUAACAGAUGUGAUGCUUCUUUAAAGGUUUCAUAUUACAGAGAUAUAUAAAUAUUCAAUAUCAUUAUUAAUAUUUAACAAAUUUUUCAUACUGUUAUCUUAAUCUUUUCUACUUGAUUGAUAUUUCAUCUGGUUAAGUAUCCAUAAGUAUGAGUUGCAAUGUGACUAGAGCUAGUGAGUCUAACAAAACCCAUACCUCCCAACAUACUCAUAAUUUAAACGCAGCAAUUAUUGAAAUGCUUAUGUAGUUCUUUCACUGCUUAAAGUAGUGAGCUGUAUCAACCUAUUUAGUGGUGAGAAUACAAUAUUUUUACUAUGACCACAGUGAAAUGAUAUAAACUACUUGGUCAAACGCAACUCCUGAACCCAACAAAUUUACACCCACACUUGUUUUUACUUAAAUUUUAUCCCUUUUUAAGGACAUAUAUUUCUCCAUGUAUUCUUUGGUAUUUACACAUCGAAUUUAUUCAGUUAAUUUCAUAAAAUAUUCAGAAUUAUGAAGAGGCAUAUAAACACAUGUAAAAUAAUCCAUGCCAUCCGACUAAAUAUUUCUUAGGAUACCUUGAUUUCUAACUUUCAUUUUUAAUUUUAGAGUUUGCAAUAUCUGAAAUUUCAAAUACUCAUUAAAUAGAUCAACAUGUCACAUAUUACCUUAUUUUUAACAUGAAAGUGUGCGAUACAUCAUUGUUUGAAUAUUCUUAACUAGUGAUAUUGAUCCAUGGCAGGUUAAACCUGUUGACUUUAGUAGGGAUAUCCAUCUUCCAGGGGGAGAAAGGAUUCCUACUGCCUUUGCUAGUCCCAUGAGGAAAUUUGAGAUCAUUGCAAGCUAACAAAACACUAGCCAAUUAUAAAGUACCCUUGUUGCUAACAAUAAUGAACUAUUCUCACCACCCACUAUGAAAGGACAACUGAAUUGGCUCACUUUGAGUCUACUGACCUUUUCAGAUGCACAGCACUAGUGACUAAACAAAAGAUGUUGAUCUUUCUAUUAGUAAGCCAGCAUCAUGCCAAACUCCUCUAUCUAUGACUCUUAUUAAUAUAUUAACUUUGAAUAAAUUAUUUGUAUACAAGACAUUAAUUUGUCUGAAAUUUAUAUAAAUUUCUGACUUGGCAUUGUUUCUGCUGUGAUUUAGUCACAUUCUUCAAAGCUGUGGUUUGUUCUUUCUCAUCAGACAUUUAAAUAAAUUUGAAUGUUUUAUUUCAAUAACUCAAUAUAUUUGAAUUGACUGCCAUAUGAUUUACUGAAAGUGUUUGUAAAUUUGAAUUUUUCAACGAAUCCUGUCAAGAUUAAGUAGUAACUUUGUAGUGAAAAGUAAACAAAAUAAAACUCUCUUGAAAGUGGUUUUAUUAUCUUGAUAAUUUCUUGACAAGAGAGCACCAGUAAUUUAAGCAAGUACUAUCGAAUUGUCUUGCUCAAAGUAUAUGACUUCCACUAACUCAUAACCCAACCAAGUUAUGUAUUGUUCAUUUGAUGAAUGCAUUUCCCCCAAACUUAACUGAUAUUCAUAAGAAUUGUUUUUGAUACUUAAAACUGGGUGGAUAUAAAAACAAUUUUUUUAAUAUAUUGAAAUAAACUCCACGAACAAAACAUGACAAAUUUUAACUUAGCAAUGCAAUUAAGAGGCCAUUAACUCUUAGCAAACUCUGAGUAGCCACACAUUUUGUUCAAGUCCGCAUUCUAUACAAAUAUUGACAUAUUUUGCCUAUUUUUGUUGACUAUCAUUUUUGAAUUUUGAAAAUAUUGCCAAAUCUGGCUAUUUAAAGGUACUUUUAAAUGGAUGAAAUAAAUGGAAAAAUUGUGAUAGUAACUUGUAAGCUGAGGCAAGGAAUUUAUUUGAUAUCAAUAUAUUUCAAUAACUAAUUAAUGUAAAAGUAUUUUCAGAGUAAAGUGGAUAAAUUUUUGGAAUUGCAAGCAUAAGUUUGUACACUUAAGAUGUCUUGUAAUAUUUGCACCAAUUGUAUACUGGUAUUUUGUAUGAUGGGGCUUAAGCAGAAAUUAAUUACAGCAAUUUAUAUGCCUUGUUAUAAAUUUAAUAAAAUUAUUGAGUCAUGGAAA
rnacentral:lncRNA from 1 species